UACGGGGGGGCAAGCGUUGUUCGGAAUUACUGGGCGUAAAGGGCUCGUAGGCGGCCCUCUCAGUCGGAUGUGAAAUCCCCAGGCUUAACCUGGGAACGGCAUCCGAUACUGGAGGGCUUGAAUUCGGGAGAGGGAUGCAGAAUUCCAGGUUUAGCGGUGAAAUGCGUAGAUAUCAAGUGGAACACCAGUGGCGAAGGCGAGUCUCUGGACAUUUCCUGACGCUGAGGCACGAAAGCCAGGGGAGCAAACGGG
rnacentral:rRNA from 1 species